rnacentral:tRNA from 2 species
GCGCCCGUAGCUCAGUGGAUUAGAGCAAAGGGUUUCUAACCCUUAGGUCGAGUGUUCGAAUCACUCCGGGCGCG